rnacentral:rRNA from 1 species
AUUGAACGCUGGCGGCAGGCCUAACACAUGCAAGUCGAGCGAGCGGCGGACGGGUGAGUAAUGUAUGGGGACUGCCCGAUAGAGGGGGAUAACUACUGGAAACGGUGGCUAAUACCGCAUACUAUCGGAUAACCCAUAUGGGAUUAGCUAGUAGGUGGGGGAAAGGCUCACCUAGGCGACUAUCCAUAGCUGGGCUGAGAGGAUGAUAAGCCACUCUGGGAUGGAGACACGGCCCAUACUCCUACGGAGGCAGCAGUGUGGAAGAUUGCACAAUUGGCGCAAGCCGGAUGCAGCCAUGCCGCGUGUAUGAAGAAGGCCUUAGGGUUGUAAAGUACUUUCAGCGGGGAGGCGUUACCCGCAGAAGAAGCACCGGCUAACUCCGUGCCAGCCGCCGCGGUAAUAC